rnacentral:rRNA from 1 species
AUUGAACGCUGGCGGCAUGCCUUACACAUGCAAGUCGAACGGCAGCACGGGUGCUUGCACCUGGUGGCGGGUGGCGAACGGGUGAGUAAUAUAUCGGAACGUACCUUAUUGUGGGGGAUAACGCAGCGAAAGCUGUGCUGAUACCGCAUAAUCCCUAAGGGGGAAAGCGGGGGACCGUAAGGCCUCGCGCAAUUAGAGCGGCCGAUACCUGAUUAGCUAGUUGGUGAGGUAAAGGCUCACCAAGGCAACGAUCAGUAGCUGGUCUGAGAGGACGAUCAGCCACACUGGGACUGAGACAUGGCCCAGACUCCUACGGGAGGCAGCAGUGGGGAAUUUUGGACAAUGGGGGCAACCCUGAUCCAGCAAUGCCGCGUGAGUGAAGAAGGCCUUCGGGUUGUAAAGCUCUUUUGUCAGGGAAGAAACAGCAGCUCUAACACAGUUUGCGAAUGACGGUACCUGAAGAAUAAGCACCGGCUAACUACGUGCCAGCAGCCGCAGUAA